rnacentral:tRNA from 1 species
GCGGGAAUAGCUCAGUUGGUGGAGCACAACCUUGCCAAGGUUGGGGUCGCGAGUUCGAGUCUCGUUUCCCGCUCCG